AACGAACGCUGGCGGCAUGCCUAACACAUGCAAGUCGAACGAGACCUUCGGGUCUAGUGGCGCACGGGUGCGUAACGCGUGGGAACCUGCCCUUAGGUUCGGAAUAACUCCCCGAAAGGGGUGCUAAUACCGGAUAAUGUCUUCGGACCAAAGAUUUAUCGCCUUUGGAUGGGCCCGCGUUGGAUUAGCUAGUUGGUAGGGUAAAAGCCUACCAAGGCGACGAUCCAUAGCUGGUCUGAGAGGAUGAUCAGCCACACUGGGACUGAGACACGGCCCAGACUCCUACGGGAGGCAGCAGUGGGGAAUAUUGGACAAUGGGCGAAAGCCUGAUCCAGCAAUGCCGCGUGAGUGAUGAAGGCCUUAGGGUUGUAAAGCUCUUUUACCCGGGAUGAUAAGGACAGGACCGGGAGAAGAAGCUCCGGCUAACUCCGU
rnacentral:rRNA from 1 species